rnacentral:rRNA from 1 species
UAAGGAAUAUUGGACAAUGGAGGCAACUCUGAUCCAGCCAUGCCGCGUGAAGGAAUAAGGCCCUAUGGGUUGUAAACUUCUUUUAGACGGGACAAAACCCCUUUACGUGUAAAGGGUUGAUGGUACUGUCAGAAUAAGCAUCGGCUAACUUCGUGCCAGCAGCCGCGGUAAUACGAAGGAUGCAAGCGUUAUCCGGAAUUAUUGGGUUUAAAGGGUGCGUAGGCGGACUAAUAAGUCGGUGGCGAAAGCCUGCAGCUUAACUGCAGAAUUGCCAUUGAUACUGUUAGUCUUUAGUACAGUUGAGGUAGGCGGAAUGUGUCAAGUAGCGGUGAAAUGCUUAGAUAUGACACAGAACACCGAGUACGAAGGCAGCUUGCUAAGCUGUAACUGACGCUGAGGCACGAAAGCGUGGGGAGCAAA